rnacentral:rRNA from 1 species
CCUACGGGGGGCAGCAGUGGGGAAUAUUGGGCAAUGGAGGAAACUCUGACCCAGCGACGCCGCGUGAGGGAUGAAGGCCUUCGGGUUGUAAACCUCUUUCAGCAGGGAAUAAGCGAAAGUGAAGGUACCUGCAGAAGAAGCACCGGCUAACUAUGUGCCAGCAGCCGCGGUAAUACAUAGGGUGCAAGCGUUGUCCGGAAUUAUUGGGCGUAAAGAGCUCGUAGGUGGUCGAUCACGUCGGAUGUGAAAAUCUGAGGCUUAACCUCAGACCUGCAUUCGA